ACAGAAAAGUAUUCCAAAUGUUAUCUACAUCGUAUUUUAACCAAAGAGGGCAUCAUGGUAUAAUAUCAACUAUAUGACAGCUCUAAGAAAAAAUUUAUUAUGAAUAAUGGUAAAAAUUUAUUAUGAGUAAUAGUAAGUUUACAAUAAAGGAUUUAUUAUAUAAACAAAUGUGAAAUGACUGUUCACUUAAUUAUCUUCAGCCAUAACUAAAGUCAGACCUCUAAAUUAGGUGUUAGAUUUAUAGAACAUAAGAAUCUGGUAGACAAAAGAAUGAUAUAUCAAAUGUUAACCUAUUCUCAAAAUCUUCUACACAUACAAGAAAAUGUAGAAUGUGACAAAUUUUCAUAUACAUGUAAGAUGACAAACAGUUAAAAAUGAUAUCCAUGACAACAGAGCCAAAUCUAGGUGACAGAGUCCUGUCCUAAUAAGCUCAUGGAGCAAGUGCUAUCUAUUUUUAAAGCACUUUCCUCAUUUUCUGGGUUUUUUUUUUUUUUUUGGGGGGGGGGGGGAGUUAGUAAACAUUUAGUGUCCACCAUAAAAACAUCUGUCAUAAAGACAAACUUUUUUGUGUGUGUCUUUUGUCUUUUUAGGGCUGCAAACAGAUAUGAAACUGGCCAUCUCUCCAUAAUCCUCAUCACCGAUACAUGUGUACUAAGAGAAGUAACAACAGAAACUAUGUGAGCCUAGGACCCAGCACUAUACCAAGAGCUGUAUAUCCUAUUUUAUCUUCACAGUAACCCUAUGAAGUAAAGAUGAGGAAACUAAGCCUUCAGGUAUGACAAGAAAGACUACUCUUCAAUCAAGUACGAUGCAGUGAUACUUCUAUCUUCUAUAAAACAGUGUGAAUGAGGCCCUGACCCUGAAACAACCAAUUUAUUGUCAUUUAUCCAUCCAUCCAUCCAUCAUCUGAAUAUAAGCCAUGUGCCAGGGUCGUGUACAAGAGCCAUCUAGCAUCUCGAGAUACUGAGAGAUACAAGAACCAACAAGCUACCUCCGUGGAAAUUAAGAGUAUCCAUGGUGAGCUACAAAAUUACUUAUGAUUUACAAAGAACAAAGUAGCAACCGCACAAUAGAGAAACCUCUCUGGUACUACUUUGACCAAGUCAUCAAAUUUAAAACCUAGAAGAAUGAAAUGAAGCAUGGGACACCCAGUGCACAGGAAACCAAGAACCUCUCGGCAUUGACUGAUUAACUGUUGGACAUAUCCACAUCU